UACGGGGGGGGCAAGCGUUGUUCGGAAUUACUGGGCGUAAAGCGCGCGCAGGCGGCCCUUUAAGUCUACCCGUGAAAUGCCGGAGCUCAACUCCGUGCACGCCGGGGGAUACUGGGGGGCUGGAGACAGGUAGAGGCAAGCGGAAUUCCGGGUGUAGCGGUGGAAUGCGUAGAUAUCCGGAAGAACACCUGAGGCGAAGGCGGCUUGCUGGGCCUGAUCUGACGCUGAGGCGCGAAAGCGUGGGGAGCAAACAGG
rnacentral:rRNA from 1 species